GAAUUUUGGAGGGAAUUUGGGGGGUUUGGGGGGAAUUUGGGGGAUUUUGGGUCUGAUUUUAGGGGUUUUGGAGGGAUUUUGGGGGGAAUUUGGGGAUUUUGGGUCUGAUUUUUGGUUUGAUUUUGGGUCUGAUUUUGGGGAUUUUUUUGGGGGGAAUUUGGGGGGGAUUUUGGGGAUUUUUUGGGGGGAAUUUGGGGAUUUUUUUGGAGGGGAUUUGAGGGAUUUUGGGUCUGAUUUUGGGUAUUUUUUGGGUCUGAUUUUGUGUAUUUUUGGGGGGAUUUUGGGGGAUUUUUUGGGGAUUUUUUGGGUAUUUUUUGGGUCUGAUUUUGGGUAUUUUUGGGGCUCCCCCCCAGACAUCAUCCACAAGUUUAUCCGGGAUAAAUAUUCCAAGAGAUUCCCGGAGCUGGAGUCGCUGGUUCCCAACGCCCUGGAUUACAUCCGCACCGUCAAGGUGGGUGGGGACACCAAAACACCCAAAAACACCCCAAAAACAACCCAGAAACACCCCAAAACACCCCAAAAACACAGAAAAACACCCCAAACCACCCCAAAACACCCAAAAACACCCCAAAAACAACCCAGAAACACCCAGAAACACACAAAAACACCCCAAAAACAACCCAGAAACAUCCAAAAACACCCAGAAACACCCAAAAACACCCCAAAAACACAGAAAAACACCCAGAAACACCCAAAACCACCCCAAAAAAUCCAAAACACCCUAAAAACACCAAAAAACACCCCAGAAACACCCAAAAACACCCCAAAACACCCCAAAAACACCCAAAAUAUCCCAAAAACUGCCCAAAAACACCCAAAACCACCCCAAAACCAUCCAAAAACACUCAAAAACACCCCAAAAACACCCCAAAACACCCCAGAAACACCCCAAAAACACCCCCAAAACACCCCAAAACCACCCCAAAACACCCCAAAAUAUCCCAAAAUGUCCCAAAAACACCCAAAAACCCCUCAAAAACACCCAAAAAACAUCCAAAAAACCCAGAAAACCCCACAAAAACACCCGAAAAACACCCAAAAACACCCCAAAAACAACGAAAACACCCUAAAAACACCCAAAAACACCCAAAACACCCAAAAACACCCAAAACACCCAAAAACACCCCAAAAAACACCCCCAAAACACCCCCAAAACACCCAAAACCACCCCAAAGUACCCCAAAAUAUCCCAAAUCUCAGAAUUUUUUUGGGUCGAAUUUUGGGGUUUUUUUUUUUCCCAAAUUUUUCUGGUUGGAAUUUUGGGGUUUUUUUGAUUCCCAGAUUUUUUUUGGGUGGAAUUUUGGGGUUUUUUUUGAUUCCCAGAUUUUUUUUUGGGUGGAAUUUUGGGGGUUUUUUUUUCCCUUUCCCAGAUUUUUUUUUCCGUUUAUUUUUUUACCCCUCCCUGAUUUUUGUUUUUUGGGUGGAAUUUUGGGGUUUUUCUUUAACUCCCAGAUUUUUUUUGGUGGAAUUUUGGGGUUUUUCUUUAACUCCCAAAUUUUUUUUGGGUUGAAUUUGGGGUUUUUUUGAUUCCCAAUUUUUUUUUUUUUGGUGGAAUUUUGGGGUUUUUUUAACUCCCAGAUUUUUUUGGGUUAAAUUUUGGGGUUUUUUUUAAAUCCCAAAUUUUUUGGGGGUUAAAUUUUGGGGUUUUUUUAAAUCCCAGAUUUUUUUGGGGUCGAAUUUUGGGGUUUUUUUUCCCUUUCCCAGAUUUUUUUCCGUUUAUUUUUUUACCCCUCCCUGAUUUUUGUUUUUUUGGGUGGAAUUUUGGGGUUUUUUUGAUUCCCAAAUUUUUUUUUGAGUUGAAUUUCGGGGUUU
rnacentral:lncRNA from 1 species